GAUGAACGCUAGCGGCAGGCCUAACACAUGCAAGUCGAGGGGUAGAGGUUGCUUGCAACCUUGAGACCGGCGCACGGGUGCGUAACGCGUAUGCAAUCUGCCUUGUACUGAGGGAUAGCCCAGAGAAAUUUGGAUUAAUACCUCAUAGUAUCUUUUCCCGGCAUCGGGAGAUUAUUAAAGUUCCAACGGUACAAGAUGAGCAUGCGUCCCAUUAGCUAGUUGGUAUGGUAACGGCAUACCAAGGCAAUGAUGGGUAGGGGUCCAGAGAGGGAGAUCCCCCACACUGGUACUUAGACACGGACCAGACUCCUACGGGAGGCAGCAGUGAGGAAUAUUGGUCAAUGGGCGCAAGCCUGAACCAGCCAUGGCGCGUGCAGGAUGAAGCAUCUAUGGUGUGUAAACUGCUUUUAUACGGGAAGAAACGCCGGUUCGUGAACCGGCUUGACGGUACCGUAAGAAUAAGGAUCGGCUAACUCCGUGCCAGCAGCCGCGGUAA
rnacentral:rRNA from 1 species